rnacentral:rRNA from 1 species
GACCGCGACCCCAGGUCAGGCGGGACUA